rnacentral:rRNA from 1 species
UUGGCUUAGAAGCAGCCAUCCUUCAAAGAAAGCGUAAUAGCUCACUGAUCGAGUCCUCAUGCGCGGAAGAUGUAACGGGGCUAAGUCAAUAACCGAAAGCGCGGAUUUGUACGAAAGUACAAGUGGUAGGGGAGCGUUCUGUAAGCCUGCGAAGGUGGUUCGAGAGGACUGCUGGAGGUAUCAGAAGUGCGAAUGCUGACAUGAGUAACGUUAAAGCGGGUGAAAAGCCCGCUCGCCGUAAGCCCAAGGUUUCCUGCUCUACGUUCAUCGGAGCAGGGUGAGUCGGCCCCUAAGGCCAGGCUGAGAAGCGUAGUCGAUGGGAAGCAGAUUAAUAUUUCUGCACCAUGUGCAAGUGCGAUGGGGGGACGGAGUGCGAAAGAUCAUCCGGGUGUUGGAUGUCCCGGUUUGUGAGUGUAGAAGGCCGACAGGCAAAUCCGUCGGCGGAUCUUCGAGACAAAGCAUCGAGGUUCUACGGAACCGAAGUGAUCGGAAGUGCUUCCAGGAAAAGCCUCUAAGCUCCAGCUUGCAUGUGACCGUACCGUAAACCGACACUGGUGGGCGAGUUGAAUAUACUCAGGCGCUUGAGAGAACUCGGGAGAAGGAACUCGGCAAAUUGACACCGUAACUUCGGGAUAAGGUGUGCCUUUGUAGCGUGAAGAGAGAAACACUCGGAGCGUGAAGAGGCCUCAGAGAAUCGGUGGCUGCAACUGUUUAUUAAAAACACAGCACUCUGCAAAGACGAAAGUCGACGUAUAGGGUGUGAUGCCUGCCCGGUGCUGGAAGAUUAAGUGAUGGGGUGAGAGCUCCUGAUCGAAGUCCCAGUAAACGGCGGCCGUAACUAUAACGGUCCUAAGGUAGCGAAAUUCCUUGUCGGGUAAGUUCCGACCUGCACGAAUGGCAUAAUGAUGGCCACACUGUCUCCUCCCGAGACUCAGUGAAGUUGAAAUGUUUGUGAUGAUGCAAUCUCCCCGCGGCUAGACGGAAAGACCCCAUGAACCUUUACUGUAGCUUUGCAUUGGACUUUGAACCGAUUUGUGUAGGAUAGGCGGGAGGCAGAGAAAGCGCAACGCCAGUUGUGCCGGAGCCGACGUUGAAAUACCGCCCUGAUUUGUUUGAGGUUCUAACCGCGACCCGUGAGCCGGGUUCGGGACCGUGCAUGGCAGGCAGUUUGACUGGGGCGGUCUCCUCCUAAAGGGUAACGGAGGAGUACAAAGGUACGCUAGGUACGGUCGGAAAUCGUGCUGAUAGUGCAAAGGCAAAAGCGUGCUUGACUGCGAGACCGACAAGUCGAGCAGAUGCGAAAGCAGGU